rnacentral:lncRNA from 10 species
CCAGCCACUAUCUCACACAACCACACGAGAGACAUCAAGAACUCCCAGUGGAGUCCAGUCAGCCCAUGGAACUGCAAGAGACAGGAUCUCGCUGCGUUGCUCAGACUGGUCUCGAACUCCUGGGCUUAAGGGAUUCUCCUGCCUCAAUCACAGCCUCCCAAGUAGCUGAGAUUAAAAGUGCUCACCACCGUGCCAGCGAGUUCAGUUUUUGAGGGUGGAGCCAAGACUCUGAGGAGAGGGCUGAACUGUGAACCUAGAAGUACCAUCUCCCCCUGCACACACCUUUGGUCAAGUUGACCCCAAGAAGAAGGACAAGUCCUCUGCACGGCGAUGAGGCCAUACACACAGUCUGUGGCCCGGCUUUGGGAGACUGAUGGGACAAAGGAUGUUUUGCACGAUCCUUGGUCUCUGAGCAAAUAUAUACAUGGGUUAACACAAAGGCUCUCUUUUUGAAAAAUGUGACUGUGAAAGUGUGCCCUCCCAGAUAUUCCAGGCAUAACACAGGAGUGACUGCAUGUUUGGGGACAGUGCGGAGGCCACUCUGAUUAGAUCAGAGGAUGUGGACUGGUUCAUGAUGUAAAAGCUGAAGGGAGGCCGGGCACAGUGGCUCACGCCUGUAAUCCUAGCACUUUGGGAGGCCAAGGUGGGUGGAUCACGAGGUCAGGAGAUCGAGACCAUCCUGGCUAACAAGGUGAAACCCCG